rnacentral:snRNA from 1 species
UUUUUUCCCUCGGCCUUUUGGCUAAGAUCAAGUGUAGUAUCUGUUCUUUCUUUUUUUUUUUUUCUUUCCUUUUUUUUUGGGAGAGGUUUUUGCUAUAGGGCGUGUGCACUCACCAAAAAGACAGAGAGAGACAGAGAGACAGAAAGCGAAAAGUCACCCCCUCCCAUGGGGGGAUGGCCAUGUCACAAUCCCUUCUCCUCCAUUCUCC